CCGACGGUGAGGGGUGAAAGCUGGGGGAGCAAACCGGAUUAGAUACCCGGGUAGUCCCAGCUGUAAACUAUGCAAACUCAGUGAUGCAUUGGCUUGUGGCCAAUGCAGUGCUGCAGGGAAGCCGUUAAGUUUGCCGCCUGGGAAGUACGUACGCAAGUAUGAAACUUAAAGGAAUUGGCGGGGGAGCACCACAAGGGGUGAAGCCUGCGGUUCAAUUGGAGUCAACGCCAGAAAUCUUACCCGGAGAGACAGCAGAAUGAAGGUCAAGCUGAAGACUUUACCAGACAAGCUGAGAGGUGGUGCAUGGCCGUCGCCAGCUCGUGCCGUGAGAUGUCCUGUUAAGUCAGGUAACGAGCGAGAUCCCUGCCUCUAGUUGCCACCAUUACUCUCAGGAGUAGUGGGGCGAAUUAGCGGGACCGCCGCAGUUAAUGCGGAGGAAGGAAGGGGCCACGGCAGGUCAGUAUGCCCCGAAACUCUGGGGCCACACGCGGGCUGCAAUGGUAACGACAAUUGGUUUCGAAUCCGAAAGGAUGAGGUAAUCCUCAAACGUUACCACAGUUAUGACUGAGGGCUGCAACUCGCCCUCACGAAUAUGGAAUCCCUAGUAACUGCGUGUCAUUAUCGCGCGGUGAAUACGUCCCUGCUCCUUGCACACACCGCCCGU
rnacentral:rRNA from 1 species